rnacentral:lncRNA from 13 species
AUGAUCUCUAGGACAUAUCAAACCAAACAAAGAGCUUCACUACAGCCUUAUCCGACACUAGUUACGGUCACAACAAACCUCUUGAAUAUCACUUUCAAUGGAAACAAACAAAACGUAAGACAGGAAUUUUCAUACAUGCCUGAUGACUCAGUGACACAGGUGAUCUCUUCCAUAUCAAAUAUGUUUAUUGAAAGCAGUGAGCUAAGUCCUUUUUUUGCUAGUUACAUAUUUAAAACUGAGCAACAUAAAGCCAAUGUACAAACAGAAUAUAAUCUUAUUAGCCACAGUCGUGUAACAAGUAGGAAAAAGUAGACAAGGCUUGAGAUCCAGUUAGUUUAGUAACGAUCAGCUGAGGUCGUGUCAAAUAGGACAUUUCGAAAGUGGUGCUCCAUGACGUAUUUCAAAUACGCUCCUCUCAUUGGUAGUUGCCACGGAACAAGCAUAACAAACCCCACCCUCUCAGAAAAUAUUUUUUGACAUACCUCAUAAUUUAUUUUCUCAGAGUACGUUGUGAUUUUGGGGGGGGGGAAAUAAACUCCAAGUCGAAUACUUUUAAUUAUUGUAAAACACAUUAAAAGCCCUUUUCUGCUUUAACGCAAACAUGCCUUGUGAGUGCAUUGAGUUCACAAGAAUGUUUUGGGCAUUUAUUUAAAUUAAUUUACAUUCAUUACAUUUUAUGUGCAGGAGGAACAGGCACUUUUUCUAUAUAUUAAACCCACAGCACCAGACUUCAAGUGUACAGAGAAUAUCAAAUGUUUUGCUCAAACUUCGUAUAUUAUAUAUUGAGAAGGUUUUUAAAGCGAUCUUUCAAAAGAUAUGCGCCCAACGUGGGGCUCGAACCCACGACCCUGAGAUUAAGAGUCUCAUGCUCUACCGACUGAGCUAGCCGGGCUUGCGUAACAUCAGGAAACUCCCCCUUUACAAACCAUGAAGCGCGAAACCUGCCCCCUUCCUGCCCUCUCAAGAGCUCGCUCCAAGACUGAUGUAAUUACACAGCGUGUUCACCACUGCAUUCACACAGCUUCUGAGUAGGAGUGCUGAUCACGAAACAGGUUCCUUCCUGUCCAUGUCAUCUUAUUCAAUGUAAAUCUAAACGUACAACUGAUCAUAGAUCAGCACUGUUACUCUAAAAGGUUUUGUGAAUACAGACAGUGAUUCUAGAUAAACUGCUGGUGUAAUAUGUACUCAGGUCAUGGUCAUAGAAAGGGUAAUGGUCAUGAAAAGGGUAAUCAUCACUGGUAAUGUUGCCCUCUCAACAUUCAUAUGAUGCAAUAAGGCAAAAGAUCCACCCAGUAUUUAUUUAUUCCAGUAUUUAUUCCAAUGCUAAUUGCUUUUCAGCAUCAAUGAAUCACUUACCACAGGAUUGCCAGACACUUGAUCAAAACAACCAUUACAAAGCACAUUCAUAAAGGAGUUCAUCCGGUUAUAUUAUAGGACAGUGUUAUGUUUGGGGGGCUGACGCCAUGACACUCACCCCUACCCCAUCCCUUCUCUAGUGUAGGGUGUAGGCUUCUCUCACCCCUACACCAUCCCUUCUCUAGUGUAGGGUGUAGGCUUCUCUCACCCCUUCCCUUCUCUAGUGUAGGGUGUAGGCUUCUCUCACCCCAUCCCUUCUCUAGUGUAGGGUGUAGGCUUCUCUCACCCCUACCCCAUCCCUUCUCUAGUGUAGGGUGUAGGCUUCUCUCACCUCUACCCCAUCCCUUCUCU